CAAGGCUGUUGCAUGGGGUUUCACUCAUGAAGAUGAUGCUUUGAGAAUGUAUGAAAAGGACUUUGAUGCAGCUGUAGAGCAGUCAGGGAUAUGGUUGCAUGAAUCCGGAGUGUUGGGAGCUUCACCUGAUGGCUUAGUUGUUCGACCACCAACAUGCAGUGUAUUUUAUCAAACUCCAGAAGCCAAAGACGCCAUUCCUGAUAUUGUAGAGGUGAAGUGUCCAUAUACAGCAUCGUCUUCAACAGUAGCAGAAAAUUUGAAGGAUUUUUCAUAGAUCUUAAACAAGAUAUCCUGUUCCUGAAAACCAGUCACCCAUACCAUCAUCAAAUUCAGGGCCAGCUACACAUAUGUAACAAAACAUGAUAGCGACUUAAUUGUGUGGACAAGAGUAGACUGCAUUGUGAUUAGAAUAGUAAAAGACAUUGAAUGGACAGCAAACGUUUCAAAGCUGAUAGAUAUCUACUUUAACAUUUUCAUUCCAGCACUGAUGGAAAACUGAGUUCUUGUUUCAACUUCUUGACACUUGGUUUUGUACCUCUAGAAUUUUCUAACAAUGGAAAAUGGGUAAUCAUGUUAAAUGUGUUGAAUGUUCCUAAAUCUUAUAAAUGUAUGAUAUGAUAUGUCACAAUCCAUCAUAAAACUUCUGGCUUAUAAGACUAUUUUAAAUAGCAAUGAUGAUUAAUAAAAUCUAUGUACUACAUAAAAAAGAAUAUCAAA